AACGAACGCUGGCGGCAGGCUCAACACAUGCAAGUCGAGCGCCCCGCAAGGGGAGCGGCAGACGGGUGAGUAACGCGUGGGAAUCUACCCAUCCCUACGGAAUAGCUCCGGGAAACUGGAAUUAAUACCGUAUACGCCCUACGGGGGAAAGAUUUAUCGGGGAUGGAUGAGCCCGCGUUGGAUUAGCUAGUUGGUGGGGUAAAGGCCUACCAAGGCGACGAUCCAUAGCUGGUCUGAGAGGAUGAACGGCCACACUGGGACUGAGACACGGCCCAGACUCCUGCGGGAGGCAGCAGUGGGGAAUCUUCCGCAAUGGGCGAAAGCCUGACGGAGCAACGCCGCGUGAGUGAUGAAGGCCCUCGGGUCGUAAACUGCUUUUAUAUGUGACGAUUAUGACGGUAGCAUAUGAAUAAGGAUCGGCUAACUCCGUGUCAGCCGCCGCAGUAA
rnacentral:rRNA from 1 species